AUUGAACGCUGGCGGCAGGCCUAACACAUGCAAGUCGAGCGAGCGGCGGACGGGUGAGUAAUGUAUGGGGACUGCCCGAUAGAGGGGGAUAACUACUGGAAACGGUGGCUAAUACCGCAUACUAUCGGAUAACCCAUAUGGGAUUAGCUAGUAGGUGGGGUAAAGGAUCACCUAGGCGACGAUCUCUAGCUGGUCUGAGAGGAUGAUCGGCCACACUAGGACUGAGACACGGCGCAGACGCCCAGAGACGCAGCAGUGGGGAACAUGACACAACGGGCGCAAGCCUGAUGGAGCCAUGCCGCGGGUAUUCAGAAGGCCUCAGGUUUGUAAAGCACGUUCAGCGGGGCGGCGUUAUUCGCAGAAGAUGCACCGGCUAACUCCGGGACAGCAGCCGCGGUAAUAC
rnacentral:rRNA from 1 species